CUAUCGACAAACUGCUCGCCUGAGAGUGAAUUUCGAGUAAAAUUCACGGCUUCACAAGCGGCUUCACAAAAGCUUCACAGCAGAUCUUGUGAAGCCGUUUUUUGAGAGUGUGUGCGUGAGAUUCAUGAUUUCAUGAGCGCGUUUUCGUAAGGUUCAUUUUAACGCUGUAAUGUUCAUUUUCAAUCGUUCUUUCCGCACCGUUGAUUUCCAACGGUGCAAUGAAAACAUUUUUUGUUUUUAACAAAAAUAAUGCAAUUUUUUAUUUUAUUCCCGGUGAAGCUAUAAAUUAUCCUUCAACCCAUUUUUUCUAUUCCCAUUUUCUACAUAGUUUAGACAGUUUACAAUGACCAUACCCAAAGAAAUCCAGCUUCCAUCUAAAUAGCGUACAAUUUUCAAUGCUCGUACACUGCGCCACUUUAAGCCUGGUACCUUAAUCCUGGUACACAUGAUUCCGCUCACUAUUUGCAACUCUUUUCAUAACCACGCUGUUAGCUUCGAUCGGUGCAGCAUAAACAAUACAUAAACAUUUCCCCUCGUCCGAGUAUAAGUUUCCAAUAGAUUCACAUCGUGUAACAAAGAAAUAGAUACAGUCAAAAAUCUUCUAUGAAAUUGCCAGCGUGUUUCGAAAGAAACUAACAUCGUGUCCUUGACUUUGGUAUCGGGUGCGAUCUCGAUUUCAUGUUGAUCGCAUUACCACUUUGUUUAUGAAUCUUUUAUUCCGUAAUGAGUCUGAAAAUGGAAUCUCAGAUCGAUCUGAAAGAAAGCAAAGCCAUGUAUUAAUUAAAUAUCAACAUACUCUGUUUUUAGCUAUGCUUACCAAUAAGAAACUGCAGCUACAAAGUUCAAAUCAACAAAAAUUCGUAUCAACUGGUGAUUCCCGCACCUGUUACAAGAAAAAACAAGAAUAAUAAUUAAUUUCUAUACAAUUUA